CACCACUUUUGAUUGGUUGUGAUGUAAGAAAUAUGACCGAGGAAACUUUUGAGAUUUUGAGCAAUAAGGAAGUUAUCGCUGUUAACCAAGACCCACUUGGUGUUCAAGGAAGGAAAAUUUAAGCCAAUGGAGAUGAUAAUUGUCAGCAGGUGUGGUCUGGACCUUUAACUGGUGACCGUAUGGUAAUCGCUCUCUGGAACCGUUGCUCUGAGCCUGCAACCAUUACAGCAUCAUGGGGGUUGAAUA